CAUACGCGCAUUAAACGUUGAACAAUUUUUUUUUUUUUUAUGUUUUAACAAUUUACGAUAAAAUUCAUCAAAUGACAUAUUAUUUCUUUACACCGUACUCAUUCGUCAUACAGCAUUACAAAAUGUUUUAAAACUGAACACAAGGUUGCAGCGUAAUAUUAGGAACCUCAUUUACAGCCGUCAAUUCUUGGGGGUCCUGCUGAAAUACAACAUUUCUUAUUCCUGGAUUUAGACAGUUGUAGUUAUAGAAACUUGAAUAAUGGUAACCGAUUCUUGCAAGUUUCGCUGACUGGCAACAUAUCUUCUGUUUCAAAUUUAAUAAUCUUUCGUGCGAACAAUUUUUGUGACAUUUGCUGAGUGGCUACAAGUCAUCUUUUUUUUAAUUAGAAUAGUCGUGUUUGGAAGUAUUUAUUUAUAGCAACCAAUCUUAUAGCUGCUCAUUUCAACUAUUGUAGUUAUCAAAUGGAGUAUUUGCUGUCAAUUCAUAGUCCGGAAUAAUUAAGAAAUUACAAGUAUUUCAGAGAAUUCAAAAUUCUUUAUGAUUAAGGGAAUAAUUUGUCAACCUAACAAGAUGUGGAUUUAGUGGAACUUAUAAUUUUAUUAUACCGCACUACCAACACUAAAAAUUCGUUCCACUGAUGCAACGGCAAUGACAACGGCAACGACAGACAGGUCUAAUUACGAAAUGUAAUUGCAAUCGACUUUUAAAAUGUAUGAUUUUGUUUUGUUUUAGAGUGGACUACUACCAAAACAUUAAUCUUGAUACUUAGUGUUUUAUAACAGUUUUUCGUUUUUAAUUUUAAAAAAUA